CCCCGCCUCCCCCCCCCCCCCCCCCCCCCGCCCUGCACAGUUCCCCCUCCCCCGCCCCUCCCUCCUCUGGCCAGCUCCCCCCCCCCCCCCCCCCCCCGGGGGGGGGGGCGGGCGGGGCCGGGGGUGGGGCCGGCGGGGGACCGCCCCCCGGCCGGCGACCGGGCGCCGCCGGGCGCAUUUCCACCGCGGCGGUGCGCCGCGACCGGCUCCGGGACGGCUGGGAAGGCCGGCGGGGAAGGUGGCUCGGGGGGGUUGCCCCGCCGUCGUCACGGCGGCGGGUCCGCCCUUCGCCCCGAGUGUUACAGCCCCCCGGCAGCAGCGCUCGCCGAAUCCCGGGGCCGAGGGAGCCAGCCCUUUGCCGCCGCGCUCUCCCCCCCUGCCGGCGCUCCCUCCCCGCGGGGGGGCCGCUCCCCGCGAGGGGGGCGUUCCCCGCGGGGCGCG
rnacentral:lncRNA from 1 species